GGAACCAAAUAUGAAGUGAAGUAGAUUAGUAGGGUCAUCUGGCCCUACUAAACUACUCUACUUCGAGUUUGUGCCC
rnacentral:pre_miRNA from 1 species